rnacentral:rRNA from 1 species
UGGCUCAGGACGAACGCUGGCGGCAUGCCUAAUACAUGCAAGUCGAGCGAAUGAUGAAGAAGCUUGCUUCUCUGAUUAGCGGCGGACGGGUGAGUAACACGUGGGCAACCUACCCUAUAGAUUGGGAUAACACAGGGAAACCUGUGCUAAUACCGAAUAAUACCUUUUCUCUUCAUGGAGGAUGGUUGAAAGAUGGUUUCGGCUAUCACUAUAGGAUGGGCCCGCGGCGCAUUAGCUAGUUGGUGGGGUAAUGGCUCACCAAGGCAACGAUGCGUAGCCGACCUGAGAGGGUGAUCGGCCACACUGGGACUGAGACACGGCCCAGACUCCUACGGGAGGCAGCAGUAGGGAAUCUUCCACAAUGGGCGAAAGCCUGAUGGAGCAAUGCCCGCGUGAGUGAUGAAGGAUUUCGGUUCGUAAAACUCUGUUGUAAGGGAAGAACAAGUAGCGUAGUAACUGGCGUUACCUUGACGGUACCUUAUUAGAAAGCCACGGCUAACUACGUGCCAGCCGCCGC